rnacentral:sRNA from 1 species
AAGGAGGAAAUGAAAGAUUUGAAGUGAGAGUAUAACUAAAAGUUGUGGGAUUAAAAUAAGAAAUCUGGAAAGAGGUUCCAGUUAUUAAGAUCCUGCCGGUCUCCCAUGGUCUGAAGCGUUGGAGUUUUAUCAGUUAUUCUCACCUUUUAUUCAGAAUAAGUAGGGAUCCAGCAGAGGAAGGGGACUGUCACUAGCAGGGCCUGCCUUGACUGCCGUCGCACUUCCCUGCUCAGAAAGUGUCCAGGCCUGCACAUUGCACCCAGGCUCCUUGCCAUCACGUUUCUGUCUCUUACAGGCCUUCCCCACCUUCCCUUCCAGCCUGACCUCCCACCUCCCCUUCUGCAGUAACCUCUGCGUAUUUCACCUCCUCCACCUUCUUGCCAAUGUAGGAUCCCAGCAUCCCCAGCACACACCCUGUUACCUGGCCCUGGUGCAUGUUGGUCACCCCUCAGGACACCGCUGCCCUCCCAUCCUGCCCAGUCGUCGUCUUAGGCCAAGCUCAAAUCUCACCUCCUCUGUGUUGCUUUCCCUGACCAUGAAGCCAAAUGUGUGCAACUCUCUCUGUCUCUGAAUUGCUGCACCACCUGCUUGCUGGAUACUUGGCCGUGGGCAAAGAGUGUAUGCUGCCUUUUCCAUUAACUCGCUCACCAAUUCCCUUCGUUUUGCCAUUGGAAAAGGGCCGGCCCUGGCGGUCCUUUCCCUUCAGCCCCUCCCUCACCAUACUCCCACAAGUGUCUUGAACCACUACUGGUUCUUUGAACCGAGUCUGAACCAUCUUUGUUAUCCCCAACCACCAGCCUUCUCCGUGCCCAGCAACCAGCACCGGAAGGAGAGCCAGGCUGAGCUUCAGUUAAUGUUUGUUGAGUGACUGGAUGGGUUUCUGUGGCCCCUGAGAGGUAAAUGAAAGCCAGUCAAAGCAACGGGAAUAGUUAUUGAUUAAAAGUCACACUUGUUAGUUUCUGGCCAGGUCUCAAAUCUGAUUCUGGGUAGAUCAUUUCCCCCACCCCACCUUCGUCACUAAGGCUACUGGAAGCCCCGCCAGGGGCAGAGCUGUAAUGGGAGUUUGGGCUGAGACUCUCCUCUGCAUAUUUCUUAGUUGUCUAAAGUCACUUUUCAACUCUUUCACCAAGGCACAGUGAUUCCUAUCAACAAGGAGGAAGUGCCAGUGUGACCUCUGUGACCCUUCAGAGUCCCCUCUCCAGGUGCUGCCCCAACAUGAAGCAGGAAUUCCUGUGGAAAGGCACAGGCUUGGACCGAGGGGCUGGGGGAGGGCUGUUGGACCCCCAGAGCACAGGCUCUCCUCUGGAAGCAUUAACAUAGGUAAAUGGUUAACAAAAGGGAGGAUUUCUCCCUGUUCCUCCUCCUCUGCCACAGUAUUGACUUUUAACCACUGACCUUUCUGUGAGGUGUGAGAUUCUGAACAAAGUUGAACGCGGUCAUGGAUGGUUAAAUUCCCACCUUUCCCUUCUGCCCCUGCCUCUGCCCCUCUGCCUUCUCGAAACAUGGCCCGAGAUGUGGAGGCCACCCCCUGGAUGUGGUGGCUGCUGAGAGAGGGAGACACACUUGCUCACAGAAAAUGAAAGUUGGCAAUGACCCUCUGACCCUUUAGGAAUCCAGAAUCUUGGCUCCUAGAAGCCAUAGAGCACUGUACCAAGAAGGCCAAGCCAAGCCAGUCCGAUUGAACUGAACAGAGAAGUGAAGUUCCCUAGUAGAAGAAGGCAUUUUGGAGCACCCAUCCCGGAAACAGCUUUCCAGCCUUGGCCUUUUACUUAUUUCUUCCUGUCUACUUCUCCUCCCUCGUCACCCCUGCCCCCAGGGACCUGCCGGCCCACUGCAUAAGACAUUUUUUAAUUCACUGGCAAAAUCCCCCAGCACCAGGCUUCGCAGCCCUCCCCUGUUACCCACAUAUGUUUUAUGGGGUGUAGCCCGCUAGCUUGCAGUUCCACCCCUCUGCACCCUUCAUUGAGUUUUGGGAGAAGCGCCAUCCAGUCGUGUCAUUUGUUCAGGAUGACUUUUCCAUUCCAUGCCCGCUGCGUUCGUUUUCCUGGAAUGUUCCCAUCAUCUCCCAGCUCCAGUUGGCCAGGGCCAGCAUGCCAUCUCCAUGCUGUUGUGUGGGACUGUUUGGUGCUGACCCGAGGGGUGGGUUGGUGGAGUAUGAGCCUGGGCUGGGUCCUUAUAAGGCCUGGAGUUUCUCGGUUUCAUGCGUUAUCCAUCCCCGACCACUGAGAGCUGAGUAGGAUCCCGUGGUUAGUGCCCUUGAGCUGGUCUUUGUGACCUUUCUCUAAGCAGCCCAACCACACACUGCCAUGCAGCUUUGAACUUCAGACCUGGUUUCUAAAUCCAUGGAAGCUGAGAGGAGGAAGAAAAUCUGAGGGGUUACCCAGGAUGCCGGCUUUCUCUCUACAUCCUUCCCUACCCCAGCCCUGUGCAGCAGGCAGGAGUGUAGGAACUCAGGCAGCUGGACUGGGGAGGAGGGAGAGAGGGAAGGAUGAUACCAGUUUAGGCUAGUGAGAAAUCUGCAAAACCCUAGAUGUGCUGUGCCUGGGAACAGACCAUGAACACCCCCGCAAAGCUCUCAGUGGUCAAGCCAGAUUUGGGUAACGACUCACUUUGAUCUCAGCUCUUCCUGCUCUCUUAAAGGUCCAGUUUGUGAUCCUCUUUAAAGGAAUAUUUUAUUUUCAAUACAGACACAGCCCUUGACGUAGCAGUAAAAACCUUCCCCCCUGAGAGACACGUGGCUGUGAAGUGUUUUGG